CAGUCGCCGCGGGAACACGAAGGGUGCAAGCGUUACUCGGAAUUACUGGGCGUAAAGCGUGCGUAGGUGGUGGUUUAAGUCCGUUGUGAAAGCCCUGGGCUCAACCUGGGAAUUGCAGUGGAUACUGGGUCACUAGAGUGUGGUAGAGGAUAGUGGAAUUUCCGGUGUAGCAGUGAAAUGCGUAGAGAUCGGAAGGAACAUCUGUGGCGGAGGCGACUAUCUGGGCCAACACUGACACUGAGGCACGAAAGCGUGGGGAGCAAACAGGAUUAGAUACCCGCGUAGUCCCUGUCUCUUAUAC
rnacentral:rRNA from 1 species